GAUGAAGAACGUAGCGAAAUGCGAUAAGUAAUGUGAAUUGCAGAAUUCCGUGAAUCAUCGAAUCUUUGAACGCACAUUGCGCCCCCUGGUAUUCCGGGGGGCAUGCCUGUUCGAGCGUCAUUUCACCACUCAAGCCUCGCUUGGUAUUGGGCAACGCGGUCCGCCGCGUGCCUCAAAUCGACCGGCUGGGUCUUCUGUCCCCUAAGCGUUGUGGAAACUAUUCGCUAAAGGGUGUUCGGGAGGCUACGCCGUAAAACAACCCCAUUUCUAAGGUUGACCUCGGAUCAGGUAGGGAUACCCGCUGAACUUAAGCAUAUCAAUAAGCGGAGGA
rnacentral:misc_RNA from 1 species